GCUGACACAUUCCAGCCAAUCAGCAGCAGACCCUCCCUCCCAGACCCUUCCACCUCCUGGACACCAUCCAUUUUGAAGCUGCAUUCUUAGUGAGCUGUCCAGGAGGUGGGAGGGUCUGGGAGGGAGGGUCUGCUGCUGAUUGGCUGGAAUGUGUCAG